UGUUGUGGAGUUUCAUGAUGUGUGACUGGAGUGAAGAUGAUCUUUGGAUCUGGAAUCAGAUUAACCGUUCACACCACAAAUAAAGUCCAGCCGAACUUUUACCACCUGGAAAACCCAAAUGAAUUAGAAGAUGAUGUAUGCUUGGCCACAAGCUUUACAAGAUAUUAUGCCGUGAGGGAUACAGCCAAACACCCAGAGGGUUUCAAUAAAACAAAGCCCACGAUGAUAACAGGCUCAAAUGGGGUCUACAACCAAGUGGCCUUUCUUGACAAAAAUGGAACAGAAACAUGCCGAGCUCUCUCUACGGAUGAACCCAGUUCUCCUAAACCUGACCCCGUAGUGAACCUGGCAUCUCUGACCAUCUUCGGCCUCAGGGUGAUCUUCUUCAAGACGGUCGUUUUCAACGUCCUGAUGACGCUGCGCCUCUGGAGUAGCCAAUAAUCUUGCCAGACUCGAUCAGAAACAUCACUGUGAAGAUGAAGAUGAAGACCUGUACAUAAUCAUAUGAGCUACUUGCUGUUGCGUCGGGGAGAAUGAAGCUGUCCUGCAGAGAACGUGCUGAAGAUUAUCGAAUAGAAAUGUUAUUUUUGUGUUGAAUGCAUGAAUAAUUGUUGAUGUAAAUAUGACAGUUCAAGGCUUUAUCAUGUAAUUUCUUAUAUUUUAAUAAAUUCUAUGAAAAGAA